ACACUCCAUUAGCCAUCAUUCUUUCCCCCUCUCUCCUUCCCUAUGAUAUUUAGUGCGUGUGUCCCCAAAUCCUUCAGGCAAAGUACCGUCUUGCUCAAGAAACCUUCUGCUUUGAGGGUUUUGGUUUUAGAUUUGAUUUGUAUUUUUGGGUUAUUUGUCAAACCUCCAAUACUUCUCUAGAAAUUCUAAUAUUUAUGUUCUUUGGGAAGGGAAGGGGAUAGCUGAUGUUUUUGUCAGACAGUUUAAAAGAUGUCUCAGGAUGAAAAGGGUUGUUUGGUAGUACACAGUUGAGCAGCAGCAAUGAAAAUGCAUCAUGUGUGAAUUGGGAAAGUUUUUGCCUCUCCGUUUAUUACAAAUCAUCAGCACUGGAUAUAUGAGACCAAAGAGUCCGUCUGAUGACACCACGAAUCUGGGAAUGAAGAACUUCUUAGAGCUGAUUGGAAAUGGCAUUACGGAGCUGAAACUUAACUGGAGGAAAUAUAUCUCCUGAAGAAGAAAAUAUAAUGCACUAUAAGGAUCUGACUUCUGGUGAAAAAUUCAAGCCUAGAGAAAACUUGUCCGCUUUGUUAGGAAGAAUGGGUUGGACAAUUUUCUUCAGUUCCAAAGGAUAUCUGAAUGCCAUGCUGAGCUUAAUCUCUGCAGCAUGCUCUGUGCUUCUCAUCUCUUCCUGAUGCACUGCAUGGUUAUCCUGAAGGGGACGAUAAAGAAACUGGCCACCAAGAUGGUAAUCACUAGUGGAAAUGAAGAAGAUAAAGGGAGUCAAGAAAAGGAAAGCAAAGAAGAAACCAUCUUGGCAAUGCUUGGAAUUAUUGGGACAAUUCUGAACCUCAUUGUGAUCAUUUUUGUGUAUAUUUACACAACGUUGUAAACUAGAAGGCAUGCAAAUAGACCAGAUAAAAUGGCCAUUAAGAAUGACAACAAACAUUGCUGACUAUUGACAAGUUCUUUAAUCAGAAUUGACUCUGUAUUAUAUUAACACAUCAUAAAAGCACUGCCUGCAGGCAGCGAAGACUGAAGCACAAUUAAUUUAACAAGACUUUUUCACACAGUAAUAAGCUUAACUCUUCUAUCCUGCCCUCUCCCUUUCGGUUUGGUUUUCAGUUUGGGGGAGAAUGACUGCAGUUAUGUAAGCUGUAGCUUUGAAGAAAUCCACCAGGGAUAUGUUGUUUUAACACAAUUUAAAAAAAAAAAAAAAAAGAAAAAAUAGAAAGAAAAAAAAGAAAAUAAAGAAACUGUACACUAUAUAUAAUUAGAAAUGUUUGCUGUAUACCCGCAAAGACUGAACUCAGAGAUAGCUUCAUAGCACAGAUCACGUGUCUGUUAGGUCAAAUGGUUUUUUUCUCUUGGUUUUUGCUUUUACUUACAUUGGAUCUGACAAGCCUUUUAUUUAGAAUGAACAUAUGGUGCAAUCAUGAAAAAAACAAUUCCAUUGAGCAAGGUCUGCCUAAACCUGAUAAAAUGUUGGGAGAAAUACAUUACAUGGUUAUUUUUCCUUUCUCUUUUGCUUAACAUCUGUGUCUGUUCAUACCAAUGUUUAUAAAUAUAUAUUUUUAAUAAAUGUGCUAUAUUUUUAGCAUGAACCAAA